AUGCACCUGGGCAAGGAUUCGG
rnacentral:miRNA from 1 species